rnacentral:rRNA from 1 species
UACGGAGGGUGCGAGCGUUAUCCGGAAUUACUGGGCGUAAAGUGUGCGCAGGCGGCCGAGCAAGUCGAGUGUGAAAGCCCCGAGCUUAACUUGGGAACUGCGCUCGAAACUACUUGGCUAGAGUGUGGCAGAGGGAGGUGGAAUUCCACGUGUAGCGGUGAAAUGCGUAGAGAUGUGGAGGAACACCGAUGGCGAAGGCAGCCUCCUGGGCCAACACUGACGCUCAUGCACGAAAGCGUGGGGGCAAACAGG